UAGGGAAUCUUCCGCAAUGGGCGAAAGCCUGACGGAGCAACGCCGCGUGAGUGAUGAAGGUCUUCGGAUCGUAAAACUCUGUUAUUAGGGAAGAACAUAUGUGUAAGUAACUGUGCACAUCUUGACGGUACCUAAUCAGAAAGCCACGGCUAACUACGUGCCAGCAGCCGCGGUAAUACGUAGGUGGCAAGCGUUAUCCGGAAUUAUUGGGCGUAAAGCGCGCGUAGGCGGUUUUUAAGUCUGAUGUGAAAGCCCACGGCUCAACCGUGGAGGGUCAUUGGAAACUGGAAAACUUGAGUGCAGAAGAGGAAAGUGGAAUUCCAUGUGUAGCGGUGAAAUGCGCAGAGAUAUGGAGGAACACCAGUGGCGAAGGCGACUUUCUGGUCUGUAACUGACGCUGAUGUGCGAAAGCGUGGGGAUCAAACAGGAUUAGAUACCCUGGUAGUCCACGCCGUAAACGAUGAGUGCUAAGUGUUAGGGGGUUUCCGCCCCUUAGUGCUGCAGCUAACGCAUUAAGCACUCCGCCUGGGGAGUACGACCGCAAGGUUG
rnacentral:rRNA from 1 species